AUUGAACGCUGGCGGCAGGCCUAACACAUGCAAGUCGAGCGGAUGAAGGGAGCUUGCGCCUGGAUUCAGCGGCGGACGGGUGAGUAAUGCCUAGGAAUCUGCCUGGUAGUGGGGGAUAACGUCCGGAAACGGGCGCUAAUACCGCAUACGUCCUGAGGGAGAAAGUGGGGGAUCUUCGGACCUCACGCUAUCAGAUGAGCCUAGGUCGGAUUAGCUAGUUGGUGGGGUAAAGGCCUACCAAGGCGACGAUCCGUAACUGGUCUGAGAGGAUGAUCAGUCACACUGGAACUGAGACACGGUCCAGGCUCCUACGGGAGGCAGCAGUGGGGAAUAUUGGACAAUGGGCGAAAGCCUGAUCCAGCCAUGCCGCGUGUGUGAAGAAGGUCUUCGGAUUGUAAAGCACUUUAAGUUGGGAGGAAGGGCAGUAAGUUAAUACCUUGCUGUUUUGACGGUACCAACAGAAUAAGCACCGGCUAACUUCGUG
rnacentral:rRNA from 1 species